rnacentral:rRNA from 1 species
UGGAGUCUAGCAUGUGUGCAAGUCAUUGGGUUAUUAAAACCUAAAGGCAUAAUUAACUUAACUGUUAUUUAUAAUGGGAUCAAUUAUAUAUAUUAUUAAUAUAUAUAUUCCAUCCCGGGGCGUUCUAUAGUUAUGCAUUUUAAUAUAUUUUAUAUAUUAUAUAUGCCUCUAACAAGAGCGUACCUUGAGCAUAUAUGUUGUGACCCGAAAGAUGGUGAACUAUACCUGAUCAGGUUGAAGUCAGGGGAAACCCUGAUGGAGGACCGAAACAGUUCUGACGUGCAAAUCGAUUGUCAGAAUUGGGUAUAGGGGCGAAAGACCAAUCGAACCAUCUAGUAGCUGGUUCCCUCCGAAGUUUCCCUCAGGAUAGCUGGUGCAUUUAAAUAUGAUAUAAAAUAAUCUUAUCUGGUAAAGCGAAUGAUUAGAGGCCUUAGGGCCGAAACGACCUUAACCUAUUCUCAAACUUUAAAUGGGUAAGAACCUAACCUUUCUUGAUAUGAAGGUUUAGGUUAUGAUAUAUUGUGCCCAGUGGGCCACUUUUGGUAAGCAGAACUGGCGCUGUGGGAUGAACCAAACGUUAUGUUAAGGCGCCCAAAUUAACAACUCAUACUGAUACCAUGAAAGGCGUUGCUUGCUUAAAACAGCAGGACGGUGGACAUGGAAGUCGUAAUCCGCUAAGGAGUGUGUAACAACUCACCUGCCGAAGCAACUAGCCCUUAAAAUGGAUGGCGCUCAAGUUGUAUGCCUAUACAUAACCGUUAAAGUAUAUGAUUUAUUAUUAUUUUUUUUAUAUAUAAAUUUUGAAACUUUAAUGAGUAGGAGGGUACAAUGGUGUGCGUAGAAGUGUUUGGCGUAAGCCUGCAUGGAGCCGCCAUUGGUACAGAUCUUGGUGGUAGUAGCAAAUAAUCGAAUGAGACCUUGGAGGACUGAAGUGGAGAAGGGUUUCGUGUGAACAGUGGUUGAUCACGAGUUAGUCGGUCCUAAGUUCAAGGCGAAAGUCGAAAAUUUUUAAGUUAUAUUUAAUAUAAUUAAUAUACUUAUAAAUUUAUUGAACGAAAGGGAAUACGGUUCCAAUUCCGUAACCUGUUGAGUAUACGUUUGUUAUUAAAAAUGGGCUUUAUGCUCAUCCUGGUAACAGAAACAACCAUAAAGAAGCCGUCGAGAAAUAUCGAAAGAGUUUUCUUUUCUGUUUCAUAGUCGUACUACCAUGGAAGUCUUUCGAAGAGAGAUAUGGUAGAUGGGCUAGAAGAGCAUGGCAUUUACUGCUGUGUCGAUAUUUUCUCCUCGGACCUUGAAAAUUUAUGGUGGGGUCACGCAAACUUCUUAACAGGCCGUACCGAUAUCCGCAGCUGGUCUCCAAGGGAAGAGCCCUAGUCGA